ensembl:rRNA 5S_rRNA 5S ribosomal RNA
GCCAGCAGCCAUAUCACUCUGCAGCUCACAACCAGCAGCCCACUGAAGCUCAGCAGGUGUGAGCCUGGUCAGUACCUGGAUGGGAGACCUCCUGGGAAAAACUAAGGUUGCUGCUGGAA